rnacentral:rRNA from 1 species
AAAUUGAAGAGUUUGAUCAUGGCUCAGAUUGAACGCUGGCGGCAGGCCUAACACAUGCAAGUCGAACGGUAGCACAGAGAGCUUGCUCUCGGGUGACGAGUGGCGGACGGGUGAGUAAUGUCUGGGAAACUGCCUGAUGGAGGGGGAUAACUACUGGAAACGGUGGCUAAUACCGCAUAAUGUCGCAAGACCAAAGAGGGGGACCUUCGGGCCUCUUGCCAUCAGAUGUGCCCAGAUGGGAUUAGCUAGUUGGUGAGGUAACGGCUCACCAAGGCGACGAUCCCUAGCUGGUCUGAGAGGA